UGAGUAGACCAGACAGUUGCGGGCGGAAGCCGAAAGGCUCCGCACGAGGAAAGUCCGAGCAUCACAGAGCAGGGUGCCGGGUAACUCCCGGUGGAGGCGACUCUAAGGAAAGUGCAACAGAAAGAUAUACCGCCAUGCAUCCGCAUGGUAAGGGUGAAAAGGCGAGGUAAGAGCUCACCGGCUCACGGGAGACCGUGGGGCCGUGUAAACCCCACCUGAUGCAACACCGUAUAUGGGAGGUUAAGCUUGCUCGGCGUCUCCCCAAGGUGGCUGGAGGUGUGCAGAAAUGUACAUCGUAGAUAGAUAACUGUCAAAUACAGAACUCGGCUUAUAGAUUUACUCACCAU
rnacentral:RNase_P_RNA from 1 species